UACGACGCUUGGCUAAAAGCUAACCAAUGCCCCAUUUGCCGCUUUACUCUGACUGCUUGGGAUGAAGCCAUUCUGGAAGGCGCAGGUGGCUGACCUAUCAGGAGGCUGACUUGAGAGUUUUAUAUGAUGCUUCUGUAAGGAAUGUGACCUUCUCUUCUAUAUUCGUAAGGUGCACAGAUCUGGUCUCAAUAGCUCAAAAGUGAUUUCACUCGGAAGCAAGGUUCGAUCGGAUUGGUUGGCACUUCUGGCUUGACUAGUCAUUUGGAAGACCAAGCAACAUGAAAAGCUCAGCACUCUCUGCAAGAUAUCUUGCUCCCGUCCUACUUGCCAUUAUUGCAAAAUCGAGUAAUACGGCAAAUGAAGACGAGGCCACUGAAUCA